AGUGAACGCUGGCGGUAGGCCUAACACAUGCAAGUCGAACGGCAGCACAGUAAGAGCUUGCUCUUACGGGUGGCGAGUGGCGGACGGGUGAGGAAUACAUCGGAAUCUACUUUUUCGUGGGGGAUAACGUAGGGAAACUUACGCUAAUACCGCAUACGACCUACGGGUGAAAGCAGGGGAUCUUCGGACCUUGCGCGAUUGAAUGAGCCGAUGUCGGAUUAGCUAGUUGGCGGGGUAAAGGCCCACCAAGGCGACGAUCCGUAGCUGGUCUGAGAGGAUGAUCAGCCAGAAUGGAACUGAGACACGGUCCAGACUGCUGCGGGAGGCAGCAGUGGGGAAUAUUGGUCGAUGGGCACAAGCCUGAUACAGCCAUACCGCGUGGGUGAAGAAGGCCUUCGGGUUGUAAAGACCUUUUGUUGGGAAAGAAAAGCAGCAGGUUAAUACCCCGCUGUUCUGACGGAACCCAAAGAAUAAGCACCGGCUAACUUCGUG
rnacentral:rRNA from 1 species